GAUGAAGAACGCAGCGAAAUGCGAUAAGUAAUGUGAAUUGCAGAAUUCAGUGAAUCAUCGAAUCUUUGAACGCACAUUGCGCCCCUUGGUAUUCCGAGGGGCAUGCCUGUUCGAGCGUCAUUAUAACCCCUCAAGCUCAGCUUGGUGUUGGGGCCUGCUGCACUGGCAGCCCUUAAAAUCAGAGGCGGCGCCAUCUGGCUCUAAGCGUAGUAAUUCUUCUCGCUAUGGAGUCCUGGUGGAUGCUUGCCAUCAACCCCCAAUUUUUCUAUGGUUGACCUCGGAUCAGGUAGGGAUACCCGCUGAACUUAAGCAUAUCAAUAAGCGGAGGA
rnacentral:misc_RNA from 1 species